GGACCUGACUGCUAUCGGAUUGAUACUAAGCCAUGCGAGUCAUUGUAGCAAUACAAGGCAUACGGCUCAGUAACGCGUAGCCAACCUAACCUAUGGACGGGAAUAACCUCGGGAAACUGAGAAUAAUGCCCGAUAGAACAUUAUGCCUGGAAUGGUUUAUGUUCCAAAUGAUUUAUCGCCGUAGGAUGGGACUGCGGCCUAUCAGUUUGUUGGUGAGGUAAUGGCCCACCAAGACUAUUACAGGUACGGGCUCUGAGAGGAGUAGCCCGGAGAUGGGUACUGAGACACGGACCCAGGCCCUAUGGGGCGCAGCAGGCGAGAAAACUUUGCAAUGUGCGAAAGCACGACAAGGUUAAUCCGAGUGGUUUCUGCUAAAGAAACCUUUUGUCUAGUCCUAGAAACUACUGAUGAAUAAGGGGUGGGCGAGUUCUGGUGUCUAGCG
rnacentral:rRNA from 1 species